rnacentral:tRNA from 1 species
GGAGCUUUAGGUUAAAUUAAACUUUUGGCUUUCAAAUUCAAAGAUUAACAGCUCAA